AAUUUUAAUUUCCUUCUGCAGCCGCCUAGCCCUGGAAAAACAACAACAGCGACAACAACAGCGACAACCAAACCAAAAAACCACCUAACUGAACCCGGGAAGCUCCCGAGUUGGUUACACCCGCAUUUGCCCCGGAUGGAAGGCUGCCGAGCUAAGCGCCCCCCCCACCCCCCUCCGCCCCCCGAUUUAAGGUUGCCACCUUCCCGUUCGUUUCAAUGCUGUGUGUUUUUCAAGUGACCGAGUGGUACCUGAAUACAAUCUUUUUUGUUACUGCCGAGGAGGUAACAGAUUCAGCGAAUUUGCAUUUCUAGGCCCUGAUCGGGGCAGUUCCAUGAAUAUCAAUGCGCCAACGCUCGCUUUGUUCUCUGCGCUCGGCCCGGGAUGUCGUCUUCCCUGGGCCUCCUUAUUUUUGGCCCCGGGGAGGCCCUCCAUUGUGUGCAUAUACCCUGAUGUUCGGUCAUUAGCCCCUUCCCCCCUUAAGGGACCUGAGGUUCUUCCAGUUUUUCCUGUUAUUACCAAUAAAAGAUAAAAGGGGCGCCCUCGCGCACACCUGCUGGUCCGGAGCGUUUCUGCAGCGGACCGUCGGGGACGGAAACUGCCGAGUCACGGGGUCUGCUCAGAUUUUAGACUGUUGAAAAACUCUCCGCGGUGGUUGAAGUUGCAAUACCAGAGCCGUCUAUUAUCUUAGCCUAAAUAAAUGCAUACGUAUGCGGGUUAAUUUCCUCCUGGGAGUCAAAGGAAGACCAGGCAUUAAGCAUUCCUUAACGUCUGUUACUAUUAAGGAGAGACACUUUUAUCAGAGCCCAAACCUCCCGUCUGAUUGCACGGCGAUAACUUUGUGAGGGCCAAGCCUAAGAAGAACACUUUUGAGAAUCAUACCAAGGCACUAUUGAUAAUGAAGGCAGAAGGGUAGGCGUGAACAGGUCUCCUGCAGGCAGCCGGGGUGCGUGGCCCCGCAUUCACGCGGACACACGCUGUGCACCCACCCAGAGCCCCUGGAUACAUGCCUUCAUCCUCCGAGCAGGAAGUACCGUCCCGAUAUUACAGGUGAAGAAAUGGAGCCUGGCCCAGAGAAUUCACCUGUCCAUAUCCCCCCUGGAAAGUGGGUGGACGAGCCUUGAUUUUUAUGCAGGAGCUUUUGACUCCCGGAAUCCAAGAAGGGGAUUACUAUACUGACGUGAGGCUGAAAUGCUUGCCUUUAGGGUUGUUUAGUUGCUGAAAGGUAACCGAGCUGUCUGGCCUGCAGGAGGCGCUUCAAAAAAUAAGAACUAUUUUUAUAGCGUGAAGAGUGAGAACUGCAGCCACCGGGAUCCUUUGGUUAAGCAAUCCUGGGAUCAGGCAAAAGUCACCACACUGCUUGUUCCAGGAAAUGCCUGCUCCUGGGAGAUAAGAUGAUGCCUCAGCUCUCACUUCCAAACCCCACCUCCCUGGCCCACCAUUCCAAUGCUCUUAUGUCAGAAACUCUGCCCAGUCCCCACCUGUUCCUUGCUGUGCAAGACCCACUUCAAAAUCCCCCGGCCAGGGCCCUAAAACCCUAUAAAUACCAUCCCUCAUUUUCCUAAUUUGAGACUCUGUGGAAGCCAGUGUUGUCCUUUACUGCAGGAGGUCUAAUAAACCCAGUUUUGCUUGAUCAACA